rnacentral:tRNA from 1 species
GAGAGAGGCUAUGAAGCACACAGGAACUGCUAAUCCCUGCCUCCGCAGUUAAAGCCUGCGGCUCACUCG